UACGGAGGGUGCAAGCGUUAUCCGGAUUCACUGGGUUUAAAGGGUGCGUAGGCGGCUUAGCAAGUCCGUUGUGAAAUCUCUGAGCUUAACUCGGAAAUUGCGGUGGAUACUAUUAGUCUUGAAUACUGUGGAGGUUAGCGGAAUAUGUCAUGUAGCGGUGAAAUGCAUAGAUAUGACAUAGAACACCAAUUGCGAAGGCAGCUGGCUACACAGAUAUUGACGCUGAGGCACGAAAGCGUGGGGAUCAAACAGG
rnacentral:rRNA from 1 species